rnacentral:rRNA from 1 species
AUUGACCUCUGGCGGCAUGCCUUACACAUGCAAGUCGAACGGUAACGGGUCCUUCGGGAUGCCGACGAGUGGCGAACGGGUGAGUAAUAUAUCGGAACGUGCCCAGUAGUGGGGGAUAACUGCUCGAAAGAGCAGCUAAUACCGCCUACGACCUGAGGGUGAAAGGGGGGGAUCGCAAGACCUCUCGCUAUUGGAGCGGCCGAUAUCAGAUUAGCUAGUUGGUGGGGUAAAGGCCUACCAAGGCAACGAUCUGUAGUUGGUCUGAGAGGACGACCAGCCACACUGGGACUGAGACACGGCCCAGACUCCUACGGGAGGCAGCAGUGGGGAAUUUUGGACAAUGGGCGCAAGCCUGAUCCAGCAAUGCCGCGUGCAGGAAGAAGGCCUUCGGGUUGUAAACUGCUUUUGUCAGGGAAGAAAUCUUCUGGGCUAAUACCCCGGGAGGAUGACGGUACCUGAAGAAUAAGCACCGGCUAACUACGUGCCAGCAGCCGCGGUAAUACGUAGGGUGCGAGCGUUAAUCGGAAUUACUGGGCGUAAAGCGUGCGCAGGCGGCUUUGCAAGACAGAUGUGAAAUCCCCGGGCUCAACCUGGGAACUGCAUUUGUGACUGCAAGGCUAGAGUACGGCAGAGGGGGAUGGAAUUCCGCGUGUAGCAGUGAAAUGCGUAGAUAUGCGGAGGAACACCAAUGGCGAAGGCAAUCCCCUGGGCCUGUACUGACGCUCAUGCACGAAAGCGUGGGGAGCAAACAGGAUUAGAUACCCUGGUAGUCCACGCCCUAAACGAUGUCAACUGGUUGUUGGACGGCUUGCUGUUCAGUAACGAAGCUAACGCGUGAAGUUGACCGCCUGGGGAGUACGGCCGCAAGGUCGAAACUCAAAGGAAUUGACGGGGACCCGCACAAGCGGUGGAUGAUGUGGUUUAAUUCGAUGCAACGCGAAAAACCUUACCUACCCUUGACAUGUCAAGAAUUCUGCAGAGAUGUGGAAGUGCUCGAAAGAGAACUUGAACACAGGUGCUGCAUGGCCGUCGUCAGCUCGUGUCGUGAGAUGUUGGGUUAAGUCCCGCAACGAGCGCAACCCUUGUCAUUAGUUGCUACGCAAGAGCACUCUAAUGAGACUGCCGGUGACAAACCGGAGGAAGGUGGGGAUGACGUCAGGUCCUCAUGGCCCUUAUGGGUAGGGCUACACACGUCAUACAAUGGCCGGUACAGAGGGCUGCCAACCCGCGAGGGGGAGCCAAUCCCAGAAAACCGGUCGUAGUCCGGAUCGUAGUCUGCGACUCGACUGCGUGAAGUCGGAAUCGCUAGUAAUCGCGGAUCAGCUUGCCGCGGUGAAUACGUUCCCGGGUCU